rnacentral:lncRNA from 1 species
GGCUGUAUGUUACAGUGGGGUGCUGCUCACAGGAGACUGUAUAGCAGGCUGUAUGUCACAGUGGGGAGCUGAAGACAUUACUAUAUAGCAGGCUGUAUGUUACAGUGGGGUGCUGCUCACAGGAGACUGUAUAGCAGGUUAUAAGUCACAGUGAGGUGCUGCUCACAGAAGACUGUAUAGCAGGCUGUAUGUUACAGUGGGGUGCUGCUCACAGGAGACUGUAUAGCAGGCUGUAAGUCACAGUGGGGUGCUGCUCACAGAAGACUGUAUAGCAGGCUGUAUGUCACAGUGGGGAGCUGUAAACAGUAGACUGUAUAGCAGGCUGUAUGUCACAGUGGGGAGCUGUAAACAGUAGACUGUAUAGCAGGCUGUAUGUCACAGUGGGGUGCUGUAGCCAGGACUGUAUUGCAGGC